UGGGGAAUAUUGGACAAUGGGCGAAAGCCUGAUCCAGCCAUGCCGCGUGUGUGAAGAAGGUCUUCGGAUUGUAAAGCACUUUAAGUUGGGAGGAAGGGCAGUAAGCGAAUACCUUGCUGUUUUGACGUUACCGACAGAAUAAGCACCGGCUAACUCUGUGCCAGCAGCCGCGGUAAUACAGAGGGUGCAAGCGUUAAUCGGAAUUACUGGGCGUAAAGCGCGCGUAGGUGGUUCGUUAAGUUGAAUGUGAAAGCCCCGGGCUCAACCUGGGAACUGCAUCCAAAACUGGCGAGCUGGAGUAGGGCAGAGGGUGGUGGAAUUUCCUGUGUAGCGGUGAAAUGCGUAGAUAUAGGAAGGAACAACAGUGGCGAAGGCGACCACCUGGGCUCAUACUGACACUGAGGUGCGAAAGAGUGGGGAGCAAACAGG
rnacentral:rRNA from 1 species